CCCUAGUCUGGGAGUUUGAGAAUGGGUGAGAGAAUUUCAGUCUCCUGGUUUCUAAUCUCUGGGCUGACAAGGCUUGCAAUGUGACCUUGAGCAUAUUAUUUAAACUCUCAACAUCGAAUUCACCACUGUUUAUGCUCUCUGCAACCUCGGUGUCAUUAUACUGCAUCUUCUUGAAUCUCUCAUUUUCCUGGACAAGGGCAAUGACGACAGAUCUCAUUGGACACAGAGAAAAGGAGCAAGAUGGAGAGAAUUUUUGUCUGUGCUGUCGUUACAAUUGCCUGUGAAACAGUAAUGGAUGAUGUCUUCAUCGUGCAAUAGUGUGACUGGAAAUGUUACUCCCGGUUUGCUGACAGAUAUUUGGAAAAAAGGAAGAAAAAUGAUGAAAUGCUGCAUCGGGAAUAUCUGUAUGAUAAGGAGAUUGGAGGAUGCUUUUCUGCAUAACUUUAUCAUUCCAAUGGUCUGGAGGAUUUGGAUGAUUGAAAACCAACAAGUAAAUAAAGCCCUAUCUAUUACAUAGCCAACUGUUGAACUGGCAAUGCCCUGAAAUUGCAUCUUCUCUCCAGUCCCCAGAACGCAGUGAGGCUGGCCUUUCUGUCCUUCGUUUUCAAGAACAUUGGACACGAUGGAGAAACAAGGUGGCAAAAUACCAAAGUUUGCGUUGAUACUUCAGUGAUACAUACUACUUUCCAUCUUUCCACUCCUGCUCUGCAGAAGCUUACCCUGUGGUGACAUCAGACAGCCUCCCGGGUAUCCAGGGAGCACAGACACAGUUGGAAGGGGGUGGGGGAGUGAGAGAGGAAUCGAUGUUUUUCCUGCUGAGAGGAGGCUGUCCAGGAUGAUAGGUGGACAGAAACAAACGAAACGUUGCAGGACCCAAGGAUCAAACCCCAUCUGCAGCAUGGCUGGAGGAACGUGGCCUCAGAGCCAGGAGAAUAAAAAAUACACAACAGAAUGGGCUGUAAUCUCUUUCUCCCCCUUGGACAUCUGAAGUUAUGCUUGAAUAAUCUUUUUACUGUAGUGUGACAAGUUCACUCUGAUUCAUACCUUGUCAUGACUUAAGGCUUCUAGUGAAGCUGCAGUGACAUCUUAGGCUGUACCUGGACUGUGGUGAUGCCGUGCUCCCGACCCACCAGAACUCGGCCAUCUUGAAGCUUAGCAAUCCUGGGAUCUUCCACCUUCAUGAAAUCAGCCACAAGGUCUGUACUCUGCUUUGAAGCAAGAGAGGCUACCACUUCCAACAGCAUUCACUUCAAGCUUUUAAAGCCGUGGCUCAUGCGAGGUAGUUCAGUCACUGAAAUGGCUCCAUUCUCUCAUCAGGGCUGUUCCAUGUUGUUUUGUACUGAGGCUCUGAUAUAGAAUCAUUAAGGUUGGAAAAGACCUCUCAGAUCAUCUAGUCCAACCAUCUACCUACCACCAAUAUUGUGCACUGUGUCAGCAGAGAAAGGUAUGAAGGGAUUCUGUCUGAGCUAGGGGUCAGAUUCCGGUUACAUGGAGUUCAUAGGAGCACAGAAUAUCCCAAUAUCUUGGAGCCUUACUAGGAAAGCUCCCUGUGUGAUGGUUUUCUCUCCAUAUAUGAUACUCGUACAUAAAGUGAAAGAGCUGCGCCUCCGCUUUUUCCAUUCUCAUGUCAGCUUGUCAGAUUCUAAUCAAUAUACUGAAGCUACAAUCAUUUUUUUUGCUAAGCAAGUAAAUCAGGUUACAAGGAAAGGAGCACAGGAACCUCUGUCACUCUUGGAGAGAAUAAUCCUUCCACGUCAAUGCUGAAUAAAUACAAGAAUUAAAAAAAAUUAAAUAUGAGAAAUAAACUCUAGCUAUCUGAUAAAACAGCUUGUAAUGGAUUCCAGUCUCAGGAGUAUCACAAAUGAGAUGGAGCAUACUCAGAAUCCUUGUUUCCCCCUCAUAAUGUGUCACAAGUGUCUCUAGAAAGUUUAAGCACAUUAAUCAAGCCCAUUAAUUGAAUGAGCAGUUGAGAUUCUAAAUCAUAAAGCCUAUAUCUAGGGAGUUUUCUGAGAAUUAAAACAAGACAGAAAUAAUUAAGAAAACCCAAAGAGGGAGGGAUAAACAUCAAGGUCUGAUCAAGGGAAUAACUAACACCUGACAAGACAGUAGGCUAAUAUUUUAGAUUACUCUUCGUACUGGCUUAAAAGCUCCUUGGAUUUCCUUGGAUUUUCGUCAGCAGGCAAGGUGCCGAAUUGGGGAACAGAAGGACGGAUUUCAGUUGUAGCUGUAAAAAUAUCAUCAGGCUUGGCUUACAAAUGUCACAGAUUACGUCUAGCCAGAGCCAUCCAUUCACAUACAUACUGACCAAGAGGAAAGUAUAAAUCGGUAUGUGUCACUGUGCUGUAGUACACCUGAUGCCCUCGUACAGACUUUCGAGCUCAUGUCUCACUUCAGUGUAAUUUCUAGAAAAUAAUCUAGUCUUGGUAAGGCAAGUUGAAGAGAGAUCUGGUUGUUUCAGUUCCCUAUCUGGAGUUCGUGUUUCUAUGUGGCUCAGCCACAACCUGACCUAGGAAUUUAGAAGAAAAUUAUGUUUGAUUGUGCAGGUAAGGGUAGAAACCACAGCAGUUGUUGAAUCCAGGUGUUAGCCCAUGAUGCUGUGCAUGAAACCACAGCCACUGUUAAUCCAGGCAAAGCUUGCUCUGGCUCCUUGCACAAAGAAUUAAUUUUGUCCAGAUCUGAGACAAGAGCUGCAAUGUGACGCUCACAGCAGCCUGGCACUCCUCAGAAGUGAAGAGGGAAUGAGAAAUGCGUUGAGCUUUGGGGACUCGGUGCAAGCCCUGUUCUCUGACCUCUGGGAGGCCAAGGGCUAAAGCAAAGGUCUCUCUUGGCUUCCUCCCCUGCAAGCCUGGUGCUGCUGGACGAGAGUGUGUCUCUGCUGCUGGGGCUGGGGCAGUCCCACAGGCAGUGGCCACACAGGCUGCUGCUGAGCUGCUGCUUCUGAAAGAACCAAGUGGGAAAGGCCUGGUCUUCUGCAAACACUACACAGUGAGAAGAAGGCACGGCUAGAAGUCGAAGCUGCUCUCUUCUAAUCUAAAAUGCGCAGAGCCUUUGCAAAACAGCCUGUCACUACCCACUGUCAGCUGCCAGACAAAAUCAGCAAAGUUAUGUGCAGCAGUUUGCACCGGGCGGCAGGACGGCUGGCUAUGUGCUCCGUGUGCAGGUCAGGAGACAGAGGGCUGCAAUUAACCUCUCCAGGCUUUGAAGCAGGUGGUUGGCUCCCAUCCCCACAAGUAAUUGUCAGAAGCACUGUUUGCCCUGCACUGCCUGUCACAGCCGCCUCGUUUGGGCCUCAUCAAGCGCUGGCAAUCCAAAGAGUAAUUGGGAAAGCGUUCUGUGUUUGGGUCAGCGCAGGUUUAUGCACUCUUUGGGGGAACAGGUGAAACAGAGGGGAUGGGAACUGACAGGAAAACAAACAGGCUUGCUGCAUGGUUAAUUUUUACAGCUUUCCAUCAAGGUUUUGGUCAAAAUCUUGCACGUCAUCCUCAGCUUGCAGGUCAUUCCAUAAGGACACCGAGUGAGACAGAUGUAACAGGCAGAUGUACCAAUUUUGUGAUAUUCCUUGGAUGCCUUCUUUUCCACCUUUUCUGCUAUGUUGUUCCUGGCGUUGUCGUGUUAGCCCAUUAGAAGGGACUUGCUGUGCUACUCGUAGCCCUUAUGUUGUGUGAUCUUUUUCUUCUGUCACUUCCAUUUUUUCACAUGCCCUCAGGAACGCCUCUCUUUCUUUUUCUGGUUUGCAUUAUUUUGUACUUUAUGAUUGUUACAUAUUUGCUUUAGAAGCUGGGCUGAAAUCGCUUCCUCAGCCUGAGGAACUCUGCUUCUUCUAUGAGAAACAAGCACAAGGGCAAUGGUCUGCUGUCCUCCUCUGUCGGUAUUUCUCUCUGCAGUUAAUUCUGGAAAUAGUUGUGCUUCACUGUGCCCCAGCUCACGAUGUGUAGUGGGGUCUACAGAUACCAUCUCCAAGCAAUUGGAGGCAAACGAUUGGGCCCAUUCCGAAGACUGCUGAUGGCACUGGUACAAAAUACAAACCGUAAUUUAUGCUCUGGUCUGAAGUGUAACGAUGGGGAGCUGGAAGCUAGAAUGAAAGGAAGAUCCUUUGCCCAGGGAAGCAAAGAUUUGGAAAUCUGCAUAACAAAUUGAAGUGCUGCAUGCGCAACAGACCGCAAAAACGUGAUGAUGUCACUGUUUACUGAUGAAGACAGGCAGGAGGAGGAAGAUGGGACUAGGGAAGCUUCUGAUGAUGUCAGUGCCUAUUUGAAGUUUUAGAGUGCUUUUACCUUUUAACCCCCAUUGAAAUCCACUGAACUAGAGGGAAGGACAGCAUGGAAGACAUUAACAUUUUGGUUUAACAAUAGAGACAAUUGCUGUGGCUUAGAAAAGGUGCAAUGAUCCAUAAAUGUACAAUGAGAAUUUAAAAACCUGCUGUACUGAAUUAAGUGUGCACUAUUCAAAAACUGUUGAUCUAUGCAAAAUUAUUAAACAACACGUGAGAUCUGCCAAGAUUUCAGUCCCAGGUGCAGAGCAGCUGCUCUCAUUCACUUUCCAGCAGGCCAUGCAGGGGCGUUCCUGCUGGAGAUGAUAAGUUUGUUGGGUGCACAGGUUGAAAGAGGAGGACUAGAGAAGGUGGAUGUGCUUUCAGGCUCCAGCUUGCUACUUGGCCUGACAUAAUUCAGGCUUAGUAAUAACUGCUGUGCAUUCACAGUGGCUACGCAGCUGCAGGGAUGGGCAGACACUCUGGCAUUUCAUUCUCACUGAUUUUGUGGAGUGAAUGCUGGAAGUGGUCAGGGGCAGCUAAUAGCAGUACAUGGUUCCUGCCAAGUUGUUUUCUGCUCCAUGUGCAAAGACCCUUUACUAAUCAGCUGAGCUUUUAUAUGUGUUUUUUUCUACAAAAAUCUGAGGAAUUCUCUCAGAAUUAAAUUUGUUUCUGCUCUCCCCAGUGAUCUAGCACACCUUGUACAGAUUACAGAAAAGAGAUCACCUUCAUUAGGUCAUUAGAUUAAGAUGGCAUCUUUGGAACGUCUUUGCUCGCAGUACCUGGAAUAGUGCUUGGUCCACCAGGGUCGUCAGCUCCCCAGCACGUGAAGAAACGACGCUUGAUACCUUUGUCCAUUUGCUAUGGAAGUUGUACCAGUCCCAUGCUUGCUCCCUGAGUUUCUAUUGCUUAGGCAGUCUGGUACACAAGUCCACUUGGCUUCUGCUCGUCUUGUCACCUGAAGCAGAGCUGCUCCUGGGCUAACAGCCUUCCCAGCCAGCCAUGCUUAUCUCUAGACAGACAUCUUCAUUCUUUGCACUGAGAUAAAGGAUCUCUAACCAGCACAAAUUCUAAGCACAUACUUGUAUGAGGUGUCUUUAGCUUAAGUAUUUGAUCCUUAAACGUCUGCAGAUUAAGCAUUACUAACACUUGGUAGUUUAAGUAAACAUCCAUGUGCUUCAUAUUCAUCAGCUGGUGUCCCAGGAGGGAUUAAGGGUUGUUUACCCGGUGAAACCCCAGCAAUAUGGUGCCAGCUCUUUCUUGCACCAGUUCUAAUUUCAGACUCUGAACCUGUUCUGUAGAAACUGUUCACUGGGUGAAACUAACAAACACAUAUGGUUGAACUGUGAACUGCUUUUUUCCUCAGUGGUUUUUCUUUUUCUUUUUUUUUCUUCACUUGAAUUACACAAAUGGGGUUAUAGGCUGACAGAGUAACUUACACAUUGUUGGGAAGAGUAAGAGGGGAGAAUAUUUAGGCAGAUGUAGCAUACUCCAGUUCCACUGAAGUUCUUUGUAAAAUAAUGGGCUUAAGAAGUAAUCUUCUGUGUACUAAGUAAACUUAUUGUUCAGAUUCAUGGCUCUAAUCCCUGUGACUGAAAUUUAAGAUCUAAGGCCCCAUGAAAUUAAAAGAAAAAGAAACAAUUACAUGCGUAUUCAUUCAAUUUCAUGUGUUGCAUAUCCUUCAAUUUUCCCAAUGAAAUUUCAAGAGGGAAAAUAGAGGUUUCUAAAGAACGUGUUAUUAAAAAAAAACAACCUGCAGGUCAGCUGUAAUUGCUGAAGCUUACCAAUUCUCCAGUGCCAGCUGCUUUCUUCUCACUGCUGGCAAAAGCAGGUCACCUCCACAUUUCCCCAUCUCCCACAAGUACUUCAUAGGUGCUACAACACAGCAUGCAGAAAGCUGGGGGACACUGAGUGCAGGAUGUGGGCAGGCAGCCCUCCUGCUGCACGGGGGCACGGUGCAGGAACAGAAGGACUACACAGCAGGGCUGGGAGUGCAAGCCACGUCCUUGUGCUGCUCCUGGACUACGCCGCAGGGAAAAGGAGCCCAUACACUGCUUCUGCCUCUGAAGGACACCUGCACCCUUUCCCGUGGAAUGGGACUUGAAUAUAUGGCAACUACAACAGCACCGCCAAGCCACAAGCCCAUCAGACAAAAAGAGUAAGUAACAAAGCUUGCGGGCUGAAUGUAGUAUUUAGAGCGAUGUGUUCCGUCAUGAAUGUUAGCCACACCAGUACAGCCUUUAAUCUUGUACCGGUCAUGACAGGAUACACCAUUUUUAGCCCAAAGAAUCUCUUGAAAACAAGGAAGAAAAAAAAUCCAGAAGGAGGUUUUAAAUACACAGCAGUACACUUCUAUUGUGCAAAGGAAGCUUUGGUCCUAUGCCUAGAUUUUAGUGCAUCUACAUUCAUAAGUCUUGCCCGCUAGCUUUUAGUUUCUGAGCAACAAAUAAUUCAUUAAUUAGGAAAAAUAAGGAAAAGGGGGCAUUUAGACAGCAAACACAGCCAACAAAAACAGCCCUUAAACUGCUUUCACUUGUCCAAGUGCUUCAAUAUAAUUGUCUGGAGAGAAUGCCAAGAGCUAAGAAAUUGUCUUCCUUCUCUGGUCUUACAGGUAUGUAUAUUUACCCUCUUACCAGUCUGCUUUAUACAUUUAAUCCAGGUUGAUGCACAAAUUCAGCAUUAAGACUUCCCUAUGCAGUAAGUGGAAAAAGCCAAGGGACAUAGCUGGAUGUAGUUCAGAGAACCAGGUUUAGAGCUAUACAUACAAAGAUGGUGCAAGUUCCUCACACAAACGAAUGCCCAAACAACUUCUAGAGACUGCUAGAUCACACUUCCCAUGGUAUUCCAACAAUACAACACCCACCCUGGGUGUCCCAGUUCCUGUGCUGGUGUGGCUGUGUGACACACGCUGCUUUGCAGGGAGAGCUCUCGGACAAUCACUGAAGGAAACAGAGCGAGGUCCUUCAGGGUGAAUGCACUAGAAAGAACAGCAUCUCGGUGUAUCAAAAAUGCAGCUAGGUUUCCAUUCAAUGCACAGUCUCGGGGCUCUUGAAAUUGUCAGGAGGUGACUGAGUGACAUAGCAGAUUUUUUCAAAGAGAAUAUUUCAUCUCUCUUUAAUGUCAGAAUGACACAACUGUGAGACUGAGCUUAACUCCUUAAUGCAAAGUGCUGGAUUUGCUUGAUUGGGUAUAUAAACAAGACUCUAAGACUGUGCUAAAGAUGGCAUGGUUCAGUCGUGACACAGCCUUAAAUUAGAAACUUCAAUUCUGCAUAAAAAUCCAAAGGAAUUACUACACCAUACAUACAUAAGCUGCACCUCAGUCAGCUGAAGUCUCUUGAAAAGAGAUCCUUAUGUAACCCGCUGCCUUAUAGCCCUGCAAUCCCUCCCACUCCUGGCUGAGGUUCCUUGCCAGAGCAGGAGAAGCCCAAGUCAGGAACAAGGGGAGCUCACGGGCAGAGGGAUCAGAGGAACCAAGCCAGAAGGGGCCUCAGGGCACAGCUCACCUCUUGUCACCCACCCAGGGACAGCGGUUGCAAUGCUUCUGAGUCACAGAGGGGUUACACACAGCUCAUGAGUUACAAGCGUGACAAUCUGAUCACAGCAGCAGCUGCUUUUGUGUUCUCCAGCUGCAGCAGCAGAGGAGAGAAUUGUCCCUCCGGUGCAGGGAGUGGAACAGGACAAAUCCUGCAGGGCUUAAAACCAGGAGCAGCCCUGUUUGGGGAGAACACUCAGGUGAAGCGUGCUUUGUUGCUGCCUGUUGUUUGACUUCCACUGCAUCAAUAAAUCCGUGCUCCAACGAGGGUGAAGGCAGCACAUCUCAGCUACAUUGUGCAGAGCAGAGAAACAGCAUGCCCGGUGCAGACUGCUGUCAUACCAAUGUUUGUCCACUGCUCUGAUAGGAAAAGAAUCUGUUGUACCAAAGAUGGAAAGGUAUUUUAAUUUACAUGCUCUAACUAAAGUGUCUGCAGGACUAAGGAGGGUCACUGCAAUCUCCCACUAACUCCACAUAUUGUUUGGUCUUUCACGAGCGUGCUGGAGCUUUUGAACUUCAGGUAUCUUCCAAGGGCAAGGGAUAGAGCUAAGGGGCAUGUCCUAACCAAGGAUGGCAUCUCCCCUACACAUCACUACCCAAACAUGCAGUUCAACCUCACGUGGCACAUAUGUGCCCACAAAUCAUCCAGUGGUGGUCUGCUUAUCAUCUCAAUGCAUUUCAUAAAGAAAAUUAACUGUCACAAUCCUUUCUUACCAGUAAGGGAACACAGCUUAUUAAAACCACCAACCAGAAAAGGAAGUCUGGGGACAGCUGUGGUGCUGGCCCAGAGGAGGAUUGGGGCAGGUAGCCCUGCACUGAGCAGCCCGGAAUUAGACCAGGCAGCGACAGCAUUAAGACUGUACAAGGGGCUGCAGACCUAAGGACUACCAGGAUCUGCAAAAUGCGUAACAGGACAUGGAGUUUUCUCUUUGGAGGAGAAUUUUAAAAACUUGCUCAUGACGGUGAGAACAAACGUCAAAGCGCCUACAUUUUGGAUGACACGAAAUCUACCCUUCUUCCACAGAGCUCUUCAGGAACAAUGAUGUACCAAAAUCGAUAGUUUGCUAUUGACUUUGAUUUAAAGGCAGAGAUUGAAUUGUCAGGAGAGUCAGUGUUGAGCUACCUGACUCCUCCCUUGCUCUAAGCCCAUAUGAUCUGGAUGGACUGAACUUCUUUCUCACCGAACUAAGACCCUGUUAAAAUCCAGCUACGAACGAAUGUUUUUCCUGUCAAUCUUUCUGCCAUCUACGGCUGUUGUGCCUUCAUGAACUCUAUCUAAAUGCCAAGAUAGAUCUGCAAAGCUCUCGAGCUCCCCUGUCAAAUCUGGGCCAAAACAACCAUUCCAACUCAUGCAUGAAAGAUAAAUGACAAACCACAGAGUAUUGCCGUUAGUUUUCUGUUGUACUUUUGGAUUUUUUUUCCCUUUUGGGUUGUUUUUUAGCAUCUCCCCCUAGGGCUGUGUAGAUACAGAAAAACAGGCUGCAGUCAAAGAAUGUAAAAGCACAAGAACAUGAAAAAAAGUUUUUUCUUUUCUUUAGAAAAAGUUCUGCACGUAGUAGAAAUGAAGGCAUAAAGAGCUGGAAAAUAAAAUAAAUAAAUAAAAAUGUUUAAAAAAGAAAAAAGAAUGAUACUUCCAGAUUAUGCCUGAAUGGAGCUAUGUAAAAAAUCCCAAGAAAGAGGCAGGGAAAGUCUGGGUUAAGAAACCCUCGAACAAGAGAGACAGAAAAAGCAAAAUGGAAAUACAUCAGCCAGGCAAUCCAAAUGCACAGCAGGUUUUCAGCUCUGGCAAAUACACCUGAUCAAGCUGCACAUUUGUUAGCCUGGGCUGUGGUAAAAAUGUAUUACAUUUGUCCAUGUCUUACAUGUAUCACUGACUCAGAUCUGUUAGCCCGAGCUGAACUGUUUGCAUUGGCUGCUACCAAAAGUAGUUAAAGUUAGCAUCGAUUUUGUGCAAACAUUAGUCACACUGACAGUCCAAAACAGGCUUACUCAGAGGGAUAUCAUGGCUCUACCAGAUGAACGACCACAGAGGAGCAAUCUGAUGCAAAGUAUUCCAUACACAAACACAAACUACUUUCCCAUGAAAUCCUAGGUCGUUAUCUUCCUCUCCUCUCCUAGCUUGCUACAGCUACCAAAAAAGAACAAGUUACAAAUUAAUGUGAAAUACUGAUUUCAUUUUUCUACUUAAUGCAUAAUUUUUCUUUUGUGCUAUUGUUCUCUGAAGACACUUCCUUCCCCGCUUGCAUUAAACAGAGAGACAAAAUUAAAUAGCAACAAAGAACCCAGUGCUAUGGCUGUCACAUUUCUGCCUAAACAGAACACAAAUCUGUGCAACUAAUACUGUGUCCCUGGCAUGCCCUACCCGAGGUAACCGGAGCUAUCCUGUAGUUUUAUAGUUAUGAACAAGGCACUGAAGGCUUUCUAAAUUAUUUUGCUCUUAAUUGUCUUUAAGAAGCUCAUGUUCUCUUCAAAACCGCUACUCUACUCCAAACUUUCAAGGAGGGAGAGUGCAUGAGUUUGAAGGAAAUCAUUCCUGCCUGCCACUAAGCUCACCUUGAUAGCAGGGCAUCCUCCUGCAGCAGGCAUCUCUGAAGUCAUCUUGUAGCUACCGAAGCUAUUAGAUUCUGUUUACUGCAAUAACUCUAUUAAAGCCUCAUGUUUUAUGCAGGUCAGAGAUGUAGUCCUAUCGAUUCAGCGUGAAAGAGCACUUUUUCUGUGGUAGUGAGAUGUUUGCUUUUCUACACUUUGCAGCCUUCCUUGUUACCUGACAUGGACCGUGUCUGCAGCAGGUCACCGGAUUUUAGUGAACUCAUGUUCAGUGCAGGGUGUUUGCGCUUAUUGACUCGGCAUUAAGGGCCGUUCUCAUGCAGGCGGAUGCUGCCUCCUCAAUCUAUAGUCCAUGCCGCUUCCAUCUGUGUGCCCAGCUUCCAGAGGGUUAUUCAGCAAAGAUUUUACUCAGACGGGAACAACUGAAACACGUUCGUGGUUCGUGUGGGCGCGAAGGGGCACGCUGACAAGCAAAUGUCCCUGCGCCCCACAGCUUACAUGUCACGCACUUUAUGGCACUGAAAGGUGCUGACCAAGUGUUCGCAAGCCAAAACCAGAACAAAACACCAGUUUUGUGGUCAGUGGGCAACAGCUGGGCAGCACCAGUGGGCAUCCCCUCUGCCUUCCAGAGAGCACAUACACAGCAGCUGCAGCACAGGUUCAGCACAGGGCACCAAUGUCCCACCCUGAGCCGGGGGGGGGCUGGAUGGGGUGAGCUGCUCUGCCUCUAUCUCUGCUUUUCAGGAUGCGUUGUAUUUCUCUCCCUUCGUUUUCUUUUUGUCUUUCAGACACAUCCUCUCUAUCUUUAUUUAGAACCACCUUCAUUUUCAGGUAGCUCAGGCUUUUUUCUGCUGCAGCUCUUUCUGAACUCCCAGUGACAGAGAAACAAUUAUCUGAAACACGUGCAAUGGCAGACACCUUUCCAACUCUUCCAGUCUUGCUAAAUAGGAUCCCUUCCCAUCCUGACCCCGCAGACACUCACACAACGCCAGCAGCCUUCUCUAAAGAGUCGCAAUCCUGUACAAAACCAUCUGUGUCUCCCUCAAAUGGGAUGGAGCUGGAGGCAUUUUCUUACCAGAAUUAAGGAGAUCAGAGUUGGCAAUAAUACAUUUUUCCUCAGCAAAAAUUAGUUACAGAAGAUGAAAAUAUCAAUAAUAACAUAAGGCGAUUAAACAAGCCACAUUGUCAAGUUUGCAAAGAACAGAAGGUCCCAGCAAAUGGCUGUCUACUAGACUUUAGACAACCAUACUCACCAACAGCACUGUAAAAAACAAACAAGCUGUAACCUAAAUAGUUAGAGGCACAUGGCAUUGCAGAGAAUAGUGGGAAGGAUGCAUAGGUUGUGGGCAUUGGCUUUGUUCUACAAAGUGCACACAGGAGAAGCCUCCCAGCAUCUCCACAGUAAGGCUGCUGGCUGGAUCUGCCCAGUCUCAGGGUUAAUGCAGUCAUUUAGGACUGGGCUGUACCUGCGUUGUUACCUCCCCAGGCUUUGUUACAUAAGAAGACAAAGAGGCAUUCCCCGGACCUCUCCAGGAGCAGGCGAACCCAGGAGCUGUCCCAGGACAGGCUGCAAGGAGAUGCACAGCACUGGGCACCUGCUGCAAGGAAAACACAGCCGCUGUGCCCCCCCAUCCUUUAUUUGCUUCUGUGUUACUUUGCCCUUGCCUGUGGCGCUCUGGUCCUCAUCACCACUUAGUAAUUUUGCAAAUGUAGCCUUGGCGUUGAUCACGUACAAAACGCGCUUUAAAACACAACAGUAAGCAAUGUAGCCCAAGGAAGGAUUGUCUCGUUUUACACUGAUAAUCUUCCACGCUAAACUCGCUACAGGUUGGGGAAAUCCAGCCUACAGCGUCUGCAAGGCAGGAGCUACUCAAGUCUCCAAGUUUUCCAGUAUUGGUGUAUUGAAAUCUUUGAUUUGUGGGGUGGCAGAAAAAGACACGGAGAGAACAUCUCCCCUGGCAACGUGUACUCCUGAAAGGCCUUUUCAAAGCAUUCCAGCAGUCAGAAACCCUUGAGCACGCUGCAUUCCCAGCUCCUCUGCCCUUCCUGCCUCCCCACCCUCAGUACUGGAAUCAUACCUUUCUUUGUGCUCCAUAUUACACCAUUGCUGGAAAGAAACUAUUUCACAUGAUCUUCACACAUUCGGCUGGGGGAGACCACGCAAUAGGGUUAUUUUCUUCCACACAGCACUGUCGGGAUUCUAUGUUUCUUUGCAGCCUAGUGCCAUCAGUUGGCCAUACAGCAUUCAUGUCUGGGGGGAAAAAAUCACUGUAUUCUGAAAUGCUGAUUGCAUCAAAUGGCAACUAGAUUGGAGGACAGUAAUCACGCUGGGCUCAGGCGAUUAAAAACUCGCUUGGAAAAUUGGUGCUUGCUGAGCCUCUAUAGAAAGAAAUGAAUUAAGAAGGAAAACAAUAAGGAAGGGUAUGCAUUAAUUUUGCUCUGCAGCGGAUAAUGGUGAGUGUAAGAGAUCUAAGGAAGGACUGCGUGUCUUAAGGAUUUUCUC